GACGAACGCUGGCGGCGUGCUUAACACAUGCAAGUCGAACGGAUAGGCCCUGCUUUUGUGUGGUGCUCGCGUGGCGAGCGGGUGUGUAACCUGGGAGUCACCUGCCCUUGGCUUUGUGAUAACUUCAGGCAAGUGCGGCUAAUACAUGAGACGAGCUGCUGCUGCAUGGUGGGGGUCGGACAGCUCGCGCGGUUGUGGAUGUACUUAGGUCUGACUAGCUAGUUGGUGGGGUAGUGGCCUACCAAGGCGUUGACGCGUAGCCGGCCUGAGAGGAUGAUCAGUCACACUGGAACUGAGACACGGUCCAGACUCCUACGGGAGGCAGCAGUGGGGAAUAUUGGACAAUGGGCGAAAGCCUGAUCCAGUCAUGCCGAGUGUGUGAAGAAGGUCUUCGGAUUGUAAAGCACGUUAAGUUGGGAGGAAGGGCAGUAAGUUAAUACCUUGCUGUUUUGACGGUACCAACAGAAUAAGCACCGGCUAACUUCGUG
rnacentral:rRNA from 1 species